CCGCGGUACCAACCCGACGUUUCAUCAUUGUGACGUCAGUAUCGUGCGCAGUUUUUCCAAUUUUCCCCACUUUAUAAGUGAAACUUAUCUAGUUAUCCCCUCAUUUGUGUGCAAGUGUCUACUCUAGUGCCCUGUUUAGUGUAAACAUUAAAGGAUGCAUGAAAACAGUUGAACAACAAGUUUGUGGAUGCGCUCAAAAGUUUACAGGAGCCGCUCGAAUAUUUUUUCAAAGUAAAGAAUGUGGAGACACAACCGGUGAGCGAUGGAGCUAGACUAUGAUGACCUGGCGGCAAACGUGUCUAAUGUGACGGUGAAGGCGGCGGCCUACCGCGAGCCGGAGUCACUCGACCUGCUCGUGCCGCUGACGGUCACAUACUCCAUCAUCUUCGUCGCUGGCAUCCUCGGCAACACCAGCACUUGCGUCGUCAUAGCGCGCAACCGCUCCAUGCACACCGCCACCAAUUUCUACCUCUUCAGCCUCGCCAUAUCCGACCUCAUCCUCCUAGUAUGCGGCCUCCCCAUCGAACUCCACCGACUCUGGAUCCCCACCACCUACCCCUUCGGCGAAGCACACUGCAUAGCGAUGGGCCUCGCGUCCGAGACCUCUGCAAACGCUACCGUCUUGACAAUAACGGCUUUCACCGUCGAGAGAUAUAUAGCCAUUUGUCGACCGUUCAUGUCGCACACGAUGUCGAAAUUAUCGAGAGCUGUGCGAUUUAUCGUCGCUAUAUGGGUGUGUGCGUUAUGCACGGCUGUGCCUCAGGCGAUGCAGUUCGGCAUCGUGUCGUAUAAAGAAAACGGACAGAAUGUGAGUGCGUGUACUGUGAAAGGACACGGUGUGCACCAAGUGUUUGUUGUGUCUAGUUUCGUGUUUUUCGUAGUGCCUAUGUCGGUGAUAUCUGUGUUAUAUGCGUUGAUAGGAAUUAAAUUGCGUACGUCACGAGUGUUGCAUCCAGCCAAGAAACUGUCGGUUGAGAGUAAUGAUCGCUCGAACAGAAGUGUGCGGUAUAGGAAUGGUGCAUCACAGCGACGGGUCAUCCGUAUGUUGGUGGCUGUGGCGCUGUCUUUCUUCGUGUGCUGGGCGCCAUUCCACGUCCAGAGGCUUCUCGCUAUCUAUGGGAAGAGCUUGGAACAUCCAAGUGAUAUGUUCUAUCAGGUGUACAUCGUGCUGACUUACCUGUCUGGUGUGCUGUACUACUUGUCGACUGCCAUCAACCCCUUCCUCUACAAUAUCAUGUCUAAUAAAUUCCGCAAUGCCUUCAAGGUCACGUUGUCGUCAUGGUGCGGGCGAAAAAGCGUGCCAGGAUUGGGGCGAACAUACAGCGCUCUACUCGCGUCACAACGAGCGCGCGUUCCAGGGGGCGCGGUGUCAGAGCGCGUGCGCGGGCCGCGACGGCUGUGCCGGCUCGCCACUGCCACCACGCAGCUGUACGACGCGCCGGCGCGAGCGCAGUGUAUGAACGGGCGUGACUUGUCGACUGUGAGCGAGUCUCCGAACGGGAACGGGCACUGGACUCACGCGUGGAAGCUCAGGAUGAACGAGCCUUCGGACUCCAUCGGGUCUCCUCGCAGCAUCAGCAACUCGAGUCUGCGGGAAGUCGACGAAGAGUUGACAGGAGAAGAGCUGGCUACGUACAUGUACCAGGUCAACUGUGAUAUAGGUGGACUCACCUGACCCGACACGACGGUGUAGCUACCUAUUUUGUGUAGCGUUAGCGCGUGAAGAUUUGAAACUCAUAGCACUCCUGUGUCAGUCUUGGACACUUUUGAUACUGUCAGUUAGAACUUGCUUCCAAGAUUUGAUAUUCACUACUAUGAUAAUUAUGUGUUUUAGGUGCAGUAGAGAAUAUUAAAACGUAAAUUGCAUUAGAUAAAGUGCGUUCUUCGUUCCCGCUCGUCCUAAACGUUCUUGCGUGAAACAGUUGAUAAAAAUUGUUAAUGUUGGCUUUAGAAUGAAUUCCAGUGAAAAUAGAUUUAUCAAGUGCGAUGUAUUUUAUAAAUACAUCCUCAACAAACCUGAGUGAUCAUACAAUGGUGGGAAAAAAUGUAUAUACGUAUACGUAUGUAAUAAUAUAUUACCAGUGAUGAAUGGUAUUUUUAUAAUAAUAUGUGAUCUAAUGUGUUGCUGUUUUUUGUACAUGAAUGACUAUUUUAAAAUAAACACAAUUUCUCAUUGCGACACAUUCAACUAUGUAAAUAAUUAAUAUAAAAAACAAAGUACUUAUAAGAAAAAACAAAUUAAAAUUUUCGCCUUAAAUAAAAAAAAACUUUGUAAGAAAUUCACGACAAAAGAUGUUAUUUACGAGUAUCUCUGUCAGACGCUUGAACUUUUAAUUGCUAAUUGAAGUUCUGGAUAACUGCAAUUUAUUUCAAUAUUUCAGAGGAAAAUUUAGUUAUGUUUGAAAAUAACCGAGAACUUCUGUUGUAUUCGAUUUGGAAUCAGAGUCACAAAAUUUCAGUUAUUAUUUCGUUAAUAUUAAGAAAUAACUUUAAUAUGGCUGUUAAAGUUACCAAUUAUAAGUGAUAUUUUAGUGUUGUAGGUUACAAGGCAUAAAAAUAGUAGGUAGUCAAUUAUAAAAUUGCUUAAAAAAUUGCCUCAACGUUUUGGGCCUGUCUUGCCACACGAGUACAAUACUCGCAUGGAAAAGCAUUCUAUAGAAAAUAUAAAUAUUAUACAGAUCACCUAUAUACCAUACAUACCUCAAUAUCCAGAUGAAAAAGCAUUUAAGAUCAAUAACUAAAAGCCCCCGCUCCGCCGACAGAACAUUUGAAUAAUUUAUUUUUCGUUUGCAUAAGACAUCUGUGACAGAAAGUGACGUUCUCGAAAGAAAUUCGAGACCCUUCGAGACAAAUUAAAAUUCUUCUACCCAACUUAGUUGGUCGCUAUUGACAAGGGUAAAGAGACUGGUGACACAGUCUUUCACCGAAAUUUCAGUAACACUGAUUUGGGGUAAAAUUGAAUUGGUUAUGCAAGAUUAAUCCUUUCUUAAGAAUUUGUAUUGCAAAUCGGUCAUUUACUCUGAUGGAUGAAUAAAUGGUAAAACAUCUUUUAAAUAGGAAUGGGUGGCGCCAUCUAGCGGGUUUUGAAGAAACCAUCGUAUAACGAUAGAGGGUACAUAUACAUGAACAAAAACUGUCUUGAAAAUCAUGUCAUAUCUCAGAGUCAUGUAGUUAUCACGUUUCGAAGAUAUGAGGGUUGGAAGAUCGUAAGAUUUUAAAAAGAAAACUAACAAUCCACUGGCAUUAUGCCAACCUCCAUAGUAAAAAGUUGGGAUCCCUUACUUUUAAUGAUUUAUUAGAAGGUCAGCUACAACAGUGCGAUUAUUAUUAAAGCAUUGUUUUUUUCAAAUAUAGAUGAAGUAUAACGAAUGAACCUUUCGAUUAUAAAGUUAUGACAUUAAGCUGCUUGCUACCUUACUCGAAUAAUAAAUAUUAGGCAGGUAGGUAUCUCAAGUUAGUUUUAAUGUAGUUAGCAAACAAAAUUGUAGCGUUUGUGUUUAUAACACUAUACUUAUGUAAGAAAUUACAAUAAAUCUCUUUUGUUUCAAGUGUAGCUUUUUAGAAUCGUGGGUCUUUUCCAUUUUUGUUUUCUAGGCGGUUUUAGCAAGGUUCCCAGGUCAUCGCCACGUGCAGUAAGAUGAAGGAUUAUCGCCAAUAAAAAUAUUAGUUUGAAAACUAAAACCCAACUACGGAAAAACGAUGAAACAAGAAAAUUAUAAGUUUUCAAACUAAAACCCCACUAUAGAAAAAUCACGCUCUGAAACGUAUGAAACAAGAAAAUAAAAGGUAUAUUUUUAUGAAAUUCUUCCGAAUACUUAGUGAUGUUUAGAAGAUAGCCGUGGUCGUAUGGAAAUCUGUCCUAAGACUUUGUUUACCACGGCUAUCUCCUAAACAUCACUAGUAAUGAAAAGCGAGAAUCGUGUGAGAAAUGUACGUGGGAAUAACUGAAUCAUUGUUUCGCACAAAAUGUCAAGUGAUUUCAGUUGGAAUUUACAUGAUGAAACUGAAAUAACUUCUGUGUAUAGAAAUGAGUAAAUAUUUUCCCGCCUUGCCGCAUUGUUUCCCCACGCAUUUCAACAUAUUUAUAUUUGGAAUAAGAAAUACUUUUUUAACUACAACGUACCGUAAGAGAAGUAUAGAAGUCAUCACUAAUUUAAGAGCCACGCUCUUGUCGGUGUAGCAUUCCAUUGCUUCUUUUUAGGGAAAAUAUACGAGUAGAGCAUCUAUCUCGCCUUCUGCCCACUUCGCUCUGUACACAGGCAAAAAC
rnacentral:misc_RNA from 1 species